rnacentral:misc_RNA from 1 species
GCAACUACUAACUAAUACCAAAGUUGAUAAACAAACAGAUUUUACCAGUUCAGACCAUCAACUACAGCAUACAGAAUGAAACAUCAGAAAUCAAUAACACACUUGCUUUCAGUGUGAAAAUCCCUUAUUGAGAAGGGGAUAUAACUUGUGACAAAUAAUCUUAUGUUCUAUUGGGAUUGCAGAUAUUGAAACUCCACAGAAUGCAAGCCACAAAUCCCAAAAAAAACGUAUCGAAAAAGAAUCAAGAAACACUUUGCAAAACGAAUAUCAAUGUGUCUGCUGCUGCUGCUGCUACCUGCAUUUUAUAAUCUAUACAAAACCAUCACAUGCUCUUCCUCAUAUUCAUCGUUGAUCAAACAACAGAGUUAGGGGAAUGAACUUAAAGUUCUCCCCACGAUAUGAACUUUCCGUUCUCAUAUACAUUUAUGUGUCUCUAUUUUGUGUCUUCUUAGUCGCAAUCCAACCCACAUACUUCUAACGAGAGUCCACCUUUUGACAAGAAUGGGUUGAUUCGGACCCACAAUAACGAAAGGAUAGAAGCUAGAAGGAUAGACCACACAAUAAUGAUAGUGGGAACGUUGCUUUGUCUCCCCAUCAUACCUUUGAGGAAGGGGUACAAAUGAACAAUGACCCAUAAGGCGAA